CAUCCAGACAUCCAGCUUGAUGGGAAAAACUCUGUCCUCGUGUACACCCAUGUGAGUGUGGGGGUAUUCACGAGGGCGCUCUUUUUCCGUCAUUCAACUUCUCUGCGGAUGGAUGGAGCACUUAUGGAUGCCUGGCUGUACUUCCCAGGCAUAAAGCGGUGGAUGGAACUAUAACACGUACACAGACCAAAUGCGGUGGCCGUAACAUCAACAGGGCGAUUAAACGCGGCCGCUUUUUUCUUACUACGGUAAAUGCGUAACGCGGGGUCAAAGGAUCGAGGCCUCUUUUCUUAGCCCCCAGAAGAAUGUGUGUAACCCCGACGAUAUAUUUUAUAAUGAGCCUGGCCAUCCCAACGAGCAAUUCGCAGUAAACUGGUUUGAGAAGCUUAUCCAAGUACACACGGAAUAAAUUCUAAAACGCAAUUUUCACCAGAAAAA